rnacentral:rRNA from 1 species
GAGUUUGAUCUUGGCUCAGGACGAACGCUGGCGGCGUGCUUAACACAUGCAAGUCGAGCGAGGCCCUUCCUUCGGGAAGGUGCCCUAGCGGCGAACGGGUGAGUAACACGUGGGCAACCUGCCCCUAGCACUGGGAUAACUCCGGGAAACCGGGGCUAAUACCGGAUAUGACCUUCUUGGGCAUCCUCGAAGGUGUAAAGGAUUCUGGCUAGGGAUGGGCCCGCGGCCUAUCAGCUUGUUGGUGGGGUAACAGCCUACCAAGGCGACGACGGGUAGCCGGCCUGAGAGGGCGACCGGCCACACUGGGACUGAGACACGGCCCAGACUCCUACGGGAGGCAGCAGUGGGGAAUCUUGCACAAUGGGCGAAAGCCUGAUGCAGCGACGCCGCGUGAGGGAUGAAUGCCUUCGGGUUGUAAACCUCUUUCAGCAGGGACGAAGCGAAAGUGACGGUACCUGCAGAAGAAGCACCGGCCAACUACGUGCCAGCCGCCGCAGU